rnacentral:lncRNA from 1 species
AUUCUUUUGGGGACAGCAAUGUGCUGCGUGCACUAUCACCACUCUCCAGUAACCACGUUAUCAACUGGUUAUCAAGGGCCCAUGUAUGUGGCAAGAAGGCUAUGCUGGGCAUUGACUAAGGCUGCUUUAGCUUUCAUGAAACACUGUGGACCCUCCAGCUGACUGUGCGUCCUGCUCUGCUUUCAGAUUGCCGACAGUUUGAACGAAUAAGACUUUCUGCUCAAAGGAUCCCCGGCCCUGGCAUACAGACAUUAAAUAUUUACUAAGGAAAUGAAUAAGCAGAAGAAAGAAGAGAAGAAAGGAAAGAAGGAAGGAAAUAGAUGUUUAUCUUAUUUGAAGUUAAUAAAAUAUUAAAAAGC